rnacentral:rRNA from 1 species
UACGUAGGGUCCGAGCGUUGUCCGGAAUUACUGGGCGUAAAGGGCUCGUAGGCGGCCAACUAAGUCGGACGUGAAAUCCCUCGGCUUAACCGGGGAACUGCGUCCGAUACUGGAUGGCUUGAGUUCGGGAGAGGGAUGCGGAAUUCCAGGUGUAGCGGUGAAAUGCGUAGAUAUCUGGAGGAACACCGGUGGCGAAGGCGGCAUCCUGGACCGACACUGACGCUGAGGAGCGAAAGCCAGGGGAGCAAACGGG